UGAAGCAUGAUCGUAAGGACAUGUGGAGCGCUUAGAAGUGAGAAUGCCGGUGUGAGUAGCGAAAGACGGGUGAGAAUCCCGUCCACCGAUUGACUAAGGUUUCCAGAGGAAGGCUCGUCCGCUCUGGGUUAGUCGGGUCCUAAGCUGAGGCCGACAGACGUAGGCGAUGGAUAACAGGUUGAUAUUCCUGUACCACCUAUAAUCGUUUUAAUCGAUGGGGGGACGCAGUAGGAUAGGCGAAGCGUGCGAUUGGAUUGCACGUCUAAGCAGUAAGGCUGAGUAUUAGGCAAAUCCGGUACUCGUUAAGGCUGAGCUGUGAUGGGGAGAAGACAUUGUGUCUUCGAGUCGUUGAUUUCACACUGCCGAGAAAAGCCUCUAGAUAGAAAAUAGGUGCCCGUACCGCAAACCGACACAGGUAGUCAAGAUGAGAAUUCUAAGGUGAGCGAGCGAACUCUCGUUAAGGAACUCGGCAAAAUGACCCCGUAACUUCGGGAGAAGGGGUGCUCUUUAGGGUUAACGCCCAGAAGAGCCGCAGUGAAUAGGCCCAAGCGACUGUUUAUCAAAAACACAGGUCUCUGCUAAACCGUAAGGUGAUGUAUAGGGGCUGACGCCUGCCCGGUGCUGGAAGGUUAAGAGGAGUGGUUAGCUUCUGCGAAGCUACGAAUCGAAGCCCCAGUAAACGGCGGCCGUAACUAUAACGGUCCUAAGGUAGCGAAAUUCCUUGUCGGGUAAGUUCCGACCCGCACGAAAGGCGUAACGAUUUGGGCACUGUCUCAACGAGAGACUCGGUGAAAUCAUAGUACCUGUGAAGAUGCAGGUUACCCGCGACAGGACGGAAAGACCCCGUGGAGCUUUACUGUAGCCUGAUAUUGAAAUUCGGCACAGCUUGUACAGGAUAGGUAGGAGCCUUUGAAACGUGAGCGCUAGCUUACGUGGAGGCGCUGGUGGGAUACUACCCUAGCUGUGUUGGCUUUCUAACCCGCACCACUUAUCGUGGUGGGAGACAGUGUCAGGCGGGCAGUUUGACUGGGGCGGUCGCCUCCUAAAAGGUAACGGAGGCGCUCAAAGGUUCCCUCAGAAUGGUUGGAAAUCAUUCAUAGAGUGUAAAGGCAUAAGGGAGCUUGACUGCGAGACCUACAAGUCGAGCAGGGUCGAAAGACGGACUUAGUGAUCCGGUGGUUCCGCAUGGAAGGGCCAUCGCUCAACGGAUAAAAGCUACCCCGGGGAUAACAGGCUUAUCUCCCCCAAGAGUUCACAUCGACGGGGAGGUUUGGCACCUCGAUGUCGGCUCAUCGCAUCCUGGGGCUGUAGUCGGUCCCAAGGGUUGGGCUGUUCGCCCAUUAAAGCGGUACGCGAGCUGGGUUCAGAACGUCGUGAGACAGUUCGGUCCCUAUCCGUCGUGGGCGUAGGAAAUUUGAGAGGAGCUGUCCUUAGUACGAGAGGACCGGGAUGGACAUACCUCUGGUGUACCAGUUGUCGUGCCAACGGCAUAGCUGGGUAGCUAUGUGUGGACGGGAUAAGUGCUGAAAGCAUCUAAGCAUGAAGCCCCCCUCAAGAUGAGAUUUCCCAACUUCGGUUAUAAGAUCCCUCAAAGAUGAUGAGGUUAAUAGGUUCGAGGUGGAAGCAUGGUGACAUGUGGAGCUGACGAAUACUAAUCGAUCGAAGACUUAAUCAA
rnacentral:rRNA from 1 species